CCUACGGGAGGCAGCAGUGGGGAAUAUUGGGCAAUGGGCGCAAGCCUGACCCAGCAAUGCCGCGUGAAGGACGCAGGCUUUCGGGUUGUAAAAUUCUUUGACAGGGGAAGAGCAGAAGACGGUACCCUGAAAACCAGCCACGGCUAACUACGUGCCAGCAGCCGCGGUCAUACGUAGGUGGCAAGCGUUGUCCGGAUUUACUGGGUGUAAAGGGCGUGUAGCCGGGAAUGCAAGUCAGAUGUGACAUCUGGAGGCGCAACCUCCAAAUUGCAUUUGAAACUGUGUUUCUUGAGUACUGGAGAGGCAGGCGGAAGUCCUUGUGUAGCGGUGAAAUGCGUAGAUAUAAGGAGGAACACCAGUGGCGAAGGCGGUCUACUGGACAGCAACUGACGGUGAGGCGCGAAAGCGUGGGGAGCAAACAGGAUUAGAUACCCGUGUAGUC
rnacentral:rRNA from 1 species